UCUAAUAUGGCAGAUAAAUGCAGUAGACUUAAGUUCUACACAUAAAGUUAUAAACUUUUAUUAGGA
rnacentral:tRNA from 1 species